GUAGGGAUAUGAAUUCCUGGUGAAGGGUGAAUCCGAGAUUCAGGAGGAACCCCGGUGGGAAGGCGAUUUUUGGGCCGAUACGACGCUGAGGAGCGAAAGCGUGGGAGCGAACCAGGAUUAAAUACCCUGGUAGUCCACGCCGUAAACCGGUGGCACUAGGUGUAGGCAACAUUUCCACGUGUCCGUCCGCAGCUAACGCAUUAAGUGCCCCGCCUGGGAGUACGGCCGCAAGCUAAAACUCAAAGAAAUUGACGGGGCCCGCACAAGCGGCGGAGCAUGUGGCUUAAUUCGACGCAACGCGAAGAACCUUACCAAAGGCUUGACAUACACCGGAAAACCCUGGAGACAGGGUCCCCCUUGUGGUCGGUGUACAGGUGGUGCAUGGCUGUCGUCAGCUCGUGUCGUGAGAUGUUGGGUUAAGUCCCGCAACGAGCGCAACCCUUGUCCCGUGUUGCCAGCAGGCCCUUGUGGUGCUGGGGACUCACGGGAGACCCUCGGGGUCAACUCGGAGGAAGGUGGGGACGACGUCAAGUCAUCAUGCCCCUUAUGUCUUGGGCUGCACACGUGCUACAAUGGCCGGUACAAUGAGCUGCGAUACCGCGAGGUGGAGCGAAUCUCAAAAAGCCGGUCUCAGUUCGGAUUGGGGUCUGCAACUCGACCCCAUGAAGUCGGAGUCGCUAGUAAUCGCAGAUCAGCAUUGCUGCGGUGAAUACGUUCCCGGGCCUUGUACACACCGCCCGUCACGUCACGAAAGUCGGUAACACCCGAAGCCGGUGGUCUCCACACUCCCCUUGUGGGAGGGAGCUGUCGAAGGUGACCGGGCGAUGCA
rnacentral:rRNA from 1 species